rnacentral:rRNA from 1 species
AGUGAACGCUGGCGGUAGACCUAACACAUGCAAGUCGAACGGCAGCGCAGUAAGAGCUUGCUCUUACGGGUGGCGAGUGGCGGACGGGUGAGGAAUACAUCGGAAUCUACUUUUUCGUGGGGGAUAACGUAGGGAAACUUACGCUAAUACCGCAUACGACCUACGGGUGAAAGCAGGGGAUCUUCGGACCUUGCGCGAUUGAAUGAGCCGAUGUCGGAUUAGCUAGUUGGCGGGGUAAAGGCCCACCAAGGCGACGAUCCGUAGCUGGUCUGAGAGGAUGAUCAGCCACACUGGAACUGAGACACGGUCCAGACUCCUACGGGAGGCAGCAGUGGGGAAUAUUGGACAAUGGGCGCAAGCCUGAUCCAGCCAUACCGCGUGGGUGAAGAAGGCCUUCGGGUUGUAAAGCCCUUUUGUUGGGAAAGAAAAGCAGCAGGUUAAUACCCCGCUGUUCUGACGGUACCCAAAGAAUAAGCACCGGCUAACUUCGUG